CCCUUAGAUGUUCUGGGCCGCACGCGCGCUACACUGAUGAACGCAACGAGACGACCUGUACCGAAAGGCAUGGGUAAACUUGUGAAAGUUCGUCGUGAUGGGGAUAGAUUAUUGCAAUUAUUAAUCUUCAACGAGGAAUUCCUAGUAAGCGCGAGUCAUCAGCUCGCGUUGAUUACGUCCCUGCCCUUUGUACACACCGCCCGUCGCUCCUACCGAUUGAAUGGUCCGGUGAAAUCUUCGGAUUGCUGGAUAGGAGGGCAACCACCUAUCUGCGAGAAGUUGCUUGAACCUUAUCAUUUAGAGGAAGGAGAAGUCGUAACA
rnacentral:rRNA from 1 species